GCAAACCUUAUUUCUACCUUAUCUACUCCAGAAGCAAUGGGUGUGCCUGAGUCUUAUCACCUCUCAACUAGUUGAAGUUUAAUUUGUUGACUGAUGCCAAGGCAGCGGCUGCUUAGAAGGGGGCAGCUGCAGACCAGAAGACUGCAGCCAAGGCAGCCGCGGUCCACACCUGCCCUGUCUGUCGGACGCAAACCCAAAAACAUUCAAGCAGCAUUUUGAAAGCAAGCAUCCCAAGUCUCCAAUGGUCCCAGUACUGGUUGAUGUGCAGGCCUAAGUGACCAAACAAACUCAAAUGGACCUACAGCUGGGGUAAGACUAUUCCAUCAUUCACACACAGUGUGAACCACCAUGUUGUCAACAAAAUACUGUUGUCAUUGCUUAAAUUCUAAAGUGUAUGACUCAAUUUAUGGAAAUGCUGUGAUCACUUUUUGUCUUUAAAGUUGUGAUUCACAGACACACGAUGACCACGAUUUUAAUGCUGCAACUGAUAGGGAAAGAAUGCAGGAACACACGCUGAGACCCCGAGUAUGACUGGACAUGGAAUUGAUAUUUGAGACAAUAACCUAAAAGGGGUGCAGAAGUACACCAGCACACCAUUUUAUGUUUAAUCCAUGGCCAACCAUCCCUCUAGCUACUACUUAUUCCACACUAUAUUUUAUGCCCCAUGGUCCCUCAACUUUGGACAUUUUGGAACCUACACUUAUUUUCCCUAUGCUGCUUCCUUCACUUGUUCUUCUCCUGAUUUGAUCACUUCUAGACAGAGUAAAACAUUUCAAAGUAUUGUGGUCUACUGUUUUUGCCACCUUUUUAUCACCUGUGUAAUGAUGUCCUCCUGCUGCAUAUUCUGGGGGUUCAGUUCAGACUGAAUGCAGUGUUAAAUGUGCUGCUCACAAUUGACAGCAGCAACAUGGGAUAUUUGAAUUGACAAGAAGGAUGUUGAUAUACAGUGCCUUGAGAAAGUAAUUACACCCCUUGACCUUUUCCAUAUGUUGUGUUACAGCCUGAAUUAAAAUGGAU